UCCAGCAGAGGAUGAGGUCUCCAGUCCCAAUCCUGACAUCCUGACUCAACCACUUACAAGAACCUGAUUAUUGAGGUGGGAUAUCAACUUCUUGUAGUUCAUCCUCUCAGCAACAGUAAGCCAUUGGAUACUUGUUGUUGCCUCUCCUUCCUUCUCAAAAAGGACCAUGACAUCAGGAAGGGGAUGCCAUGACAUGCAAGUGAAGAUGGCAAGUAAUUGAAUAUGUUAAACAUGUGUAAUUCUUUUACACAUAUUUCCACCAUGCUGCACAAGAAAAAUCAGAUCAAAAAAGGAAAAAAAAAAAAUGAGAAAGAAUACAAAAUGUUAUUUCUACCUUCUGAUUCCAAUUCUCCCUGUGCAACAAGAAAACUGUUUGGUUCUGCACACAUAUAUUGUAUCUAGGAUAUACUAUAGCCUAUUUAACAUGUAUAGGACUGCUUGCCAUCUGGGGGAGGAGAUGAAGGGAGGGAGGGAAAAAAUCGGAACAGAAGAGAGUGCAAGGGAUAAUGUAAAAAAUUACCCUGGCAUGGGUUCUGUCAAUAAAAAGUUAUUAAAAAAAAAAAAACCCCAAACCAUUGAUCUUAUUUCUAACUUGGUAACCAUAGAAUGCUGGCAGAUUCUCUCAGAUUGUUGGUUCCCAACUUUUGGUUGGGAUUUAUA